AUGAACGCUGGCGGCGUGCCUAAUACCUGCAAGUCGAGCGCACAGACGAGGAGCUUGCUCCUCUGACGUUAGCGGCGGACGGGUGAGUAACACGUGGAUAACCUACCUAUAAGACCGGGAUAACUUCGGGAAACCGGAGCUAAUACCGGAUAAUAUAUUGAACCGCAUGGUUCAAUAGUGAAAGACGGUUUUGCUGUCACUUAUAGAUGGAUCCGCGCCGCAUUAGCUAGUUGGUAAGGUAACGGCUUACCAAGGCAACGAUGCGUAGCCGACCUGAGAGGGUGAUCGGCCACACUGGAACUGAGACACGGUCCAGACUCCUACGGGAGGCAGCAGUAGGGAAUCUUCCGCAAUGGGCGAAAGCCUGACGGAGCAACGCCGCGUGAGUGAUGAAGGUCUUCGGAUCGUAAAACUCUGUUAUUAGGGAAGAACAAAUGUGUAAGUAACUAUGCACGUCUUGACGGUACCUAAUCAGAAAGCCACGGCUAACUACGUG
rnacentral:rRNA from 1 species